rnacentral:rRNA from 1 species
UACGAAGGGUGCAAGCGUUACUCGGAAUUACUGGGCGUAAAGCGGGCGUAGGUGGUUUGUUAAGUCUGCUGUGAAAGCCCCGGGCUCAACCUGGGAAUGGCAGUGGAUACUGGCAAGCUAGAGUGCGGUAGAGGGGUGUGGAAUUCCCGGUGUAGCGGUGAAAUGCGUAGAGAUUGGGAGGAACACCAGUGGCGAAGGCGGCACCCUGGACCAGCACUGACACUGAGGCACGAAAGCGUGGGGAGCAAACAGG